rnacentral:lncRNA from 1 species
CGGCGAGGACGAACAACAGCGAGCAGCAACCAGCGGUGCACCGACUGGGCGGCAACAGCUCCGGCGAAGCCUUUUUCUCCAGAAAUUUCGAGUUUAUUUAAGACGGAUCUUGACAGAUCCGUCCAGGUUUGCUUCCUUUCCGAUUCAUUAUUUUAAUUUGUUUAUCAUUUAUUAUUAUUAUUAUUAUUGGCUUGAUUAUGGAGUUCAUGAUUCCGAGACAUGCGAUUAUUUUGUGUAG